AGCAGCCGCGGUAAUUCCAGCUCCAAUAGCGUAUAUUAAAGUUGUUGCUGUUAAAAGCUCGUAGUUGAAUUUCGGGGUUCAUACAUUGGUCGGGCUUUUUGGUCUGUACUUAUGUAAUGGAUUCCUACCUUCUGAAUAACCAGCAUGCCAUUAAUUUGGUGCGCCGGGGAAGCGA
rnacentral:misc_RNA from 1 species